rnacentral:rRNA from 1 species
CCCUUAGAUGUCCGGGGCCGCACGCGCGCUACACUGAAGGAAUCAGCGUGGCUUUCUCCCUGACCCGAAAGGGUUGGGAAACCCGUUGAAUCUCCUUCGUGAUAGGGAUUGGGGCUUGAAAUUGUUCCCCAUGAACGAGGAAUUCCCAGUAAGCGCGAGUCAUAAGCUCGCGUUGAUUACGUCCCUGCCCUUUGUACACACCGCCCGUCGCUUCUACCGAUUGGACGCUGCGGUGAAGACCUGGGAUUGAGAAGGGGGGUUUGGAGGUUUUCGGAUUUCCAGCCCCUCGUCCCGAGAACUCGUCUGAACCCCAUCGUCUAGAGGAAGAAGAAGUCGUAACA